ACAACAUUCAGACCGUCUGUCUACCGAGCAAUAUCACCCGCUCAGUGGAAGAUCUUCCAUUUGUCGU
rnacentral:pre_miRNA from 1 species